rnacentral:tRNA from 1 species
CUGACCUUAGCUCAGUUGGUAGAGUGGUGGACUGUAGUUUGAUUAAUCUAAAUUGGAAAUCCUUAGGUCGCUGGUUUGAAUCCUGCAGGUCGGA